rnacentral:rRNA from 1 species
CCUACGGGAGGCAGCAGUGAGGAAUAUUGGUCAAUGGCCGGAAGGCUGAACCAGCCAUGCCGCGUGAAGGUCAGUGCCCUAUGGGCGUUAAACUUCUUUUGUGCGGGAGCAAUAAUGGUCACGUGUGGCCAGACGAGAGUACUGUACGAAUAAGCAUCGGCUAACACCGUGCCAGCAGCCGCGGUAAUACGGGGGAUGCAAGCGUUAUCCGGAUUUAUUGGGUUUAAAGGGUGCGUAGGCUGUGAGGUAAGUCAGCGGUGAAAUGCCCGCGCUCAACGGGGUGAAGUGCCAUUGAUACUGCCUGGCUGGAAUGCAGAUGCGGUAGGAGGAAUGUGUGGUGUAGCGGUGAAAUGCAUAGAGAUCACACAGAACACCGAUUGCGAAGGCAGCUCACGAAUCCGCGAUUGACGCUGAGGCACGAAAGCGUGGGGAGCAAACAGGAUUAGAUACCCGAGUAGUC